rnacentral:rRNA from 1 species
UGUGAGGUAUGCUGGAGGUAUCAGAAGUGCGAAUGCUGACAUAAGUAACGAUAAAGCGGGUGAAAAGCCCGCUCGCCGGAAGACCAAGGGUUCCUGUCCAACGUUAAUCGGGGCAGGGUGAGUCGACCCCUAAGGCGAGGCCGAAAGGCGUAGUCGAUGGGAAACAGGUUAAUAUUCCUGUACUUGGUGUUACUGCGAAGGGGGGACGGAGAAGGCUAUGUUGGCCGGGCGACGGUUGUCCCGGUUUAAGCGUGUAGGCUGGUUUUCCAGGCAAAUCCGGAAAAUCAAGGCUGAGGCGUGAUGACGAGGCACUACGGUGCUGAAGCAACAAAUGCCCUGCUUCCAGGAAAAGCCUCUAAGCAUCAGGUAACAUCAAAUCGUACCCCAAACCGACACAGGUGGUCAGGUAGAGAAUACCAAGGCGCUUGAGAGAACUCGGGUGAAGGAACUAGGCAAAAUGGUGCCGUAACUUCGGGAGAAGGCACGCUGAUAUGUAGGUGAAGUCCCUCGCGGAUGGAGCUGAAAUCAGUCGAAGAUACCAGCUGGCUGCAACUGUUUAUUAAAAACACAGCACUGUGCAAACACGAAAGUGGACGUAUACGGUGUGACGCCUGCCCGGUGCCGGAAGGUUAAUUGAUGGGGUUAGCGGUAACGCGAAGCUCUUGAUCGAAGCCCCGGUAAACGGCGGCCGUAACUAUAACGGUCCUAAGGUAGCGAAAUUCCUUGUCGGGUAAGUUCCGACCUGCACGAAUGGCGUAAUGAUGGCCAGGCUGUCUCCACCCGAGACUCAGUGAAAUUGAACUCGCUGUGAAGAUGCAGUGUACCCGCGGCAAGACGGAAAGACCCCGUGAACCUUUACUAUAGCUUGACACUGAACAUUGAGCCUUGAUGUGUAGGAUAGGUGGGAGGCUUUGAAGUGUGGACGCCAGUCUGCAUGGAGCCGGCCUUGAAAUACCACCCUUUAAUGUUUGAUGUUCUAACGUUGGCCCCUGACCGGGGUUGCGGACAGUGUCUGGUGGGUAGUUUGACUGGGGCGGUCUCCUCCUAAAGAGUAACGGAGGAGCACGAAGGUUGGCUAAUCCUGGUCGGACAUCAGGAGGUUAGUGCAAUGGCAUAAGCCAGCUUGACUGCGAGCGUGACGGCGCGAGCAGGUGCGAAAGCAGGUCAUAGUGAUCCGGUGGUUCUGAAUGGAAGGGCCAUCGCUCAACGGAUAAAAGGUACUCCGGGGAUAACAGGCUGAUACCGCCCAAGAGUUCAUAUCGACGGCGGUGUUUGGCACCUCGAUGUCGGCUCAUCACAUCCUGGGGCUGAAGUAGGUCCCAAGGGUAUGGCUGUUCGCCAUUUAAAGUGGUACGCGAGCUGGGUUUAGAACGUCGUGAGACAGUUCGGUCCCUAUCUGCCGUGGGCGCUGGAGAACUGAGGGGGGCUGCUCCUAGUACGAGAGGACCGGAGUGGACGCAUCACUGGUGUUCGGGUUGUCAUGCCAAUGGCACUGCCCGGUAGCUAAAUGCGGAAGAGAUAAGUGCUGAAAGCAUCUAAGCACGAAACUUGCCCCGAGAUGAGUUCUCCCUGACUCCUUGAGAGUCCUGAAGGAACGUUGAAGACGACGACGUUGAUAGGCCGGGUGUGUAAGCGCAGCGAUGCGUUGAGCUAACCGGUACUAAUGAACCGUGAGG